AGCUAACGCAUUAAGUACUCCGCCUGGGAAGUACGGUCGCAAGACUAAAACUCAAAGGAAUUGACGGGGGCCCGCACAAGCGGUGGAUUAUGUGGUUUAAUUCGAAGCAACGCGCAGAACCUUACCUAGGCUUGAACUCCUACGAAUCCGGGGUAAUGCCUGGAGUGUCCGCAAGGAAAUGUAGUGAGAGGUGCUGCAUGGCUGUCGUCAGCUCGUGUUGUGAAAUGUUGGGUUAAGUCUCGCAACGAGCGCAACCCCUAUCGUCUGUUGCCAGCAUUAAGUUGGGCACUCUGACGAGACUGCCUGGGUUAACCAGGAGGAAGGUGGGGAUGACGUCAAGUCCUCAUGGCCCUUAUGUCUAGGGCUACACACGUAAUACAAUGGCGCGUACAGAGGGAAGCGAACUCGCAAGGGGGAGCAAAUCUCAAAAAGCGCGCCUCAGUUCGGAUUGGAGUCUGCAACUCGACUCCAUGAAGUUGGAAUCGCUAGUAAUCGGAGAUCAGCACGCUCCGGUGAAUACGUUCCCGGGCCUUGUACACACCGCCCGUCACACCAUGGGAGUUGUUUUCAUUUUAAGACCUGACUCUAACCGCAAGGGGGAGAGCGUCUACAGUGGGAGCGAUGACUGGGGU
rnacentral:rRNA from 1 species